rnacentral:rRNA from 1 species
GGAGCCUGAGAAACGGCUACCACAUCCAAGGAUGGCAGCAGGCGCGCAAAUUACCCAAUCCCGACACGGGGAGGUAGUGACAAUAAAUAACAAUACGGGGUUCUUUAGGAUCUCGUAAUUGGAAUGAGUACAAUUUAAAUCUCUUAACGAGGAACAAUUGGAGGGCAAGUCUGGUGCCAGCAGCCGCGGUAAUUCCAGCUCCAAUAGCGUAUAUUAAAGUUGUUGCAGUUAAAAAGCUCGUAGUUGAAUUUCGGGGUUAGUAGGUUGGUCAUGCCUCUGGUAUGUACUGGUCUCACUGAUUCCUCCUUCCUUAUGAACCGUAAUGCCAUUAAUUUGGUGUUGCGGGGAAUUUGGACUGUUACUUUGAAAAAAUUAGAGUGUUUAAAGUAAGCUAACGCUUGAAUACAUUAGCAUGGAAUAAUGAAAUAGGACGUUCGAUCUUAUUUUGUUGGUUUCUAGGAUUGACGUAAUGAUUAAUAGGGAUAGUUGGGGGCAUUAGUAUUCAAUUGUCAGAGGUGAAAUUCUUGGAUUUAUUGAAGACUAACUACUGCGAAAGCAUUUGCCAAGGAUGUUUUCAUUAAUCAAGAACGAAAGUUAGGGGAUCGAAGACGAUCAGAUACCGUCGUAGUCUUAACCAUAAACUAUGCCGACUAGGGAUCGGAUGAUGUUAAUUUUUUAAUGACUCAUUCGGCGCCUUACGG